GGCCUGCUGGCGCAAUGGUAGCGCGUUACUUUCCGGUGGUAAAGGUUGCGCGUUCGAGUCGCGCGUGGGUCG